GGGUAUAGCUCAGUGGUAGAGCAUAUGCUUAGCAUGUAUGAGGUCCUGGGUUCAAUCCCCAGUACCUCCA
rnacentral:tRNA from 1 species